CGGGGGCUACACAUGCAGUCGAACGAUGAACCACUUCGGUGGGGAUUAGUGGCGAACGGGUGAGUAACACGUGGGCAAUCUGCCCUGCACUCUGGGACAAGCCCUGGAAACGGGGUCUAAUACCGGAUACUGAUCCUCGCAGGCAUCUGCGAGGUUCGAAAGCUCCGGCGGUGCAGGAUGAGCCCGCGGCCUAUCAGCUAGUUGGUGAGGUAACGGCUCACCAAGGCGACGACGGGUAGCCGGCCUGAGAGGGCGACCGGCCACACUGGGACUGAGACACGGCCCAACUCCUACGGGAGGCAGCAGUGGGGAAUAUUGCACAAUGGGCGAAAGCCUGAUGCAGCGACGCCGCGUGAGGGAUGACGGCCUUCGGGUUGUAAACCUCUUUCAGCAGGGAAAAGCGAAAGUGACGGUACCUGCAAAAAGCGCCGGCUAACUACGUGCCAGCAGCCGCGGUAAUACGUAGGGCGCAAGCGUUGUCCGGAAUUAUUGGGCGUAAAGAGCUCGUAGGCGGCUUGUCACGUCGGUUGUGAAAGCCCGGGGCUUAACCCCGGGUCUGCAGUCGAUACGGGCAGGCUAGAGUUCGGUAGGGGAGAUCGGAAUUCCUGGUGUAGCGGUGAAAUGCGAUAUCAGGAGGAACACCGGUGGCGAAGGCGGAUCUCUGGGCCGAUACUGACGCUGAGGAGCGAAAGCGUGGGGAGCGAACAGGAUUAGAUACCCUGGUAGUCCACGCCGUAAACGGUGGGCACUAGGUGUGGGCAACAUUCCACGUUGUCCGUGCCGCAGCUAACGCAUUAAGUGCCCCGCCUGGGGAGUACGGCCGCAAGGCUAAAACUCAAAGGAAUUGACGGGGGCCCGCACAAGCGGCGGAGCAUGUGCUUUAUUCGACGCACGCGAAGAAUUCUUACCAAAGGGCCUUGACC
rnacentral:rRNA from 1 species